rnacentral:rRNA from 1 species
UACGUAGGGUGCGAGCGUUAUUCGGAAUUACUGGGCGUAAAGCGUGCGCAGGCGGUUUUGUAAGUCAGAUGUGAAAUCCCCGGGCUCAACCUGGGAAUGGCAUUUGGGACUGCAAGGCUUGAGUUUGGCAGAGGAGACUGGAAUUCCUGGUGUAGCAGUGAAAUGCGUAGAUAUCAGGAGGAAUACCGAUGGCGAAGGCAGGUCUCUGGGCUAUAACUGACGCUCAUGCACGAAAGCGUGGGGAGCAAACAGG